rnacentral:rRNA from 1 species
AAUCAAGCGCAAAAGGGCAUUUAGUGGAUGCCUUGGCAUUGAGAGGCGAUGAAGGACGUAGUACACUGCGAAAAGCCGUGGGGAGAUGUGAACAAUCUUUGAUCCAUGGAUAUCCGAAUGGGGAAACCCACCGCAAGUGCGGUAUCUUUAUCUGAAUACAUAGGGUAAAGGGGCAAACCUGGGGAACUGAACCAUCUAAGUACCCAGAGGAAAGGACAUCAAACGAGACUCCGCUAGUAGUGGUGAGCGAACGCGGACCAGGCCAGUGGUUGUAUGAAAAGUAGUGGAAGAGAGUUGGAAAACUCCGCAAUAUAGGUGAUAGCCCUGUACACGGUUACUCAAAUAUGACCCUAGAGUAAGACGGGACACGUGAAAUCCUGUUUGAAGAUGGGGGGACCACCCUCCAAGCCUAAGUACUACUCAAUGACCGAUAGUGAACAAGUACAGUGAUGGAAAGGUGAAAAGAACCUCGAGUAGAGGAGUGAAAUAGACCUGAAACUGAAUGCCUACAAUCAGUUGGAGCAGCAUAAGCUGUGACAGCGUACCUUUUGCAUAAUGGGUCAGCGAGUUCGUGUUUGUAGCAAGCUUAAGCCGAUAGGUGUAGGCGCAGGGAAACCGAGUCUGAAUAGGGCGAUAAGUUACAAGCAUGAGACCCGAAACCGGGUGAUCUAACCAUGAGCAGGCUGAAGGUAAGGUAACACUUAACGGAGGGCCGAACUCGUUUCUGUUGCAAUAGAAUGAGAUGACUUGUGGUUAGGGGUGAAAGGCCAAUCAAACUCGGAUAUAGCUGGUUCUCCGCGAAAUCUAUUUAGGUAGAGCGUCGAGGUUAAUGCUGUUGGGGGUAGAGCACUGAAUGGACUAGGGGGGAGCGAUCCUUACCAAAUCCAAUCAAACUCCGAAUACCAGCAGACUAUACUCGGCAGACACACGGUGGGAGCUAAGUUCCAUCGUGAAAAGGGAAAGAGCCCUAACCGUCCGCUAAGGUCCCAAAGUUAUAACUAAGUGGCAAAGAAUGUGGAAUGACCAUAACAAUCAGGAGGUUGGCUUGGAAGCAGCCAUCCUUUAAAGAAAGCGUAAUAGCUCACUGAUCUAGUUAAGUUGUUCUGCGUCGAAGAUGUAACGGGGCUAAAGUUAUACACCGAAGCGGCGGGCUGAUUGAAUAAAUCAGCGGUAGCGGAGCGUUUUUAAAACCUGUGAAGCGGUACUCGUGAGAGGCCGUGGAGGGAUAAAAAGUGAGAAUGCUGACAUGAGUAACGAUAAACGGUGUGAAAAACACCGUCGCCGAAAAUCCAAGGGUUCCUACGCAAUGUUAAUCAGCGUAGGGUUAGUCGAAGCCUAAGGCGAGGACGAAAGUCGUAGUCGAUGGUAAUACGGUUAAUAUUCCGUAACCGGUGGGAUAGGGACGAAUCCUGUAAGUUGUAUAGCCUAAUUGGAUUGGCUGUGCAGCGAAAGGGUUCCAGGAAAUACCUCCCACAGAAGUUCGUACCCGAAACCGACACAGGUGGAUGAGUAGAAUAUACUAAGGCGCUUGAAAGAACGAUGCUGAAGGAACUCGGCAAAUUGCUCCUGUAACUUCGGGAAAAGGGAGACCCUUUGAAAGGCAACUUUUGGAGGGUGGCACAAAAAUGGGGGUAGCGACUGUUUACCAAAAACACAGAACUCUGCUAACACGAAAGUGGAUGUAUAGGGUUUGACGCCUGCCCGGUGCUGGAAGGUUAAGAGGAGGUGUGCAAGCACUGAAUUGAAGCCCCAGUAAACGGCGGCCGUAACUAUAACGGUCCUAAGGUAGCGAAAUUCCUUGUCGGGUAAGUUCCGACCUGCACGAAUGGCGUAACGACUUCCCCGCUGUCUCCAGCAUCGAUUCAGUGAAAUUGGAAUCCCUGUGAAAAUACAGGGUUCCCGCGGUCAGACGGAAAGACCCCGUGCACCUUUACUACAGCUUUGCAGUGGUAUUAGGGAGUUCAUGUGUAGGAUAGGUGGGAGCCGAUGAAGCAAGCGCGUCAGCGAGUGUGGAGGCAACCUUGAAAUACCACCCUUGAACUUUUUGAUGCCUAACUGAGGUCCUCACAGGAUCCAGGACCCUGCAUGGCGGGUAGUUUGACUGGGGCGGUCGCCUCCCAAAGAGUAACGGAGGCGCGCGAAGGUAGGCUCAAGUUGGUCGGAAAUCAACAGAUGAGUGUAAUGGCAUAAGCCUGCCUGACUGCAAGACAAACAAGUCGAGCAGAGACGAAAGUCGGUCAUAGUGACCCGGUGGUCCCGAGUGGAAGGGCCAUCGAUCAACGGAUAAAAGGUACGCCGGGGAUAACAGGCUGAUCUCCCCCAAGAGUCCACAUCGACGGGGAGGUUUGGCACCUCGAUGUCGGCUCAUCACAUCCUGGGGCUGUAGAAGGUCCCAAGGGUUCGGCUGUUCGCCGAUUAAAGUGGUACGUGAGCUGGGUUCAGAACGUCGCGAGACAGUUUGGUCCCUAUCUGCCGUGGGCGUUGGAAUAUUGAGAGGAGCUGUCCCUAGUACGAGAGGACCGGGAUGGACGUACCUCUGGUGUAUCGGUUGUCGCGCCAGCGGCAGCGCCGAGUAGCUACAGUACGGACGAGAUAACCGCUGAAAGCAUCUAAGCGGGAAACUUACCUCGAGAUUGAUAUUCCCUAUUAGGGUCGUGGUAGACUACCACGUUGAUAGGUGGAGUGUGUAAGCACAGUAAUGUGUUCAGCUAAUCCAUACUAAUUCCCGAUAGGCUUGAUUCU